rnacentral:lncRNA from 1 species
UUGCAUUAUCUUUCUAAAGCAACUGACGGCACCUCAAACAGAUUUACGAAACUCAAGUUAUCCAUUAAAUAUGACGAUUAAUUACCUUCUACGUCUUCCUGCAUUUUUUCUCCCUAUUGAAAUUUUUUGAAACUCGCCUGUUUUGCCUAUUUGAGUUUUAACCUCCCUAAAAACAUACAAGUAAACAAUCAUACAUAAUAGGGCACAACUAUUCCAAUUUUAUAUUUCCGCCUUAAGGCGUCACCAUAACUCAUCAAUCAACACCAU